rnacentral:lncRNA from 1 species
UUCAAAUCCAUCUGAUGUUUAAAUUAUAAUAUCAGUUAAUAAUAUGGAGUUUAUCCGUACAUGAUUGAUGGGUGUCGAAUCCACCAACAUAAACCUACGCCUAAUUUGCGAUUUCAGUAGUAUAGGGAGUAGGGUCGAUCCCUCAGAGACUGGGUUUACUGUAAAUUGUUGCUCUCUUGACCAGAUUUAUGUCGGGGCAGCUGUCGCGCCCAAGAAAUUCGGGGGGAUGAAAUUUGAAGACCUGAAAUAAACAGAAAAAUAACGUAAAAAGUAAAAGUUAAAAACAGAAUAAUAAAAACAGUGAAAUAAAUAUGAAGAAAAAUUAAUUAGAAUAAGCUCAGCCUUAGGCACGGAUUUUUCCUCGUCUUUGAACCGAUCCUCGAAAUUAGAUGAACUCUUCUUUUCCAAUAAGCUAGUUAUAGCUACCAAGGACGCCUCGGACACCAACUCUUCCUUGUGUAAAUUAGUUAUGGAACGUCCAAUAACUAACCCUUACCGAUCGAACAACCACGAAACGUUUGUGAUUUAGAACUCCGGCAGCUUUGCGUUCUAGAAGAGCCUAGCUCGAACCAAUACCCUCAACCGUGUGGGAUAUUUAAAUCCGGUUACUACUUCCCUUGACGGAACCAAACAACAAUCUCCACUUGGCACGCCAAUGUGUUCACAGAAAACCGAUUAGAAACGUUCCUUUCGGAAUUCCAACUGUACGUCUAACCACACUAAAUCAAACGACAUCUUUUUUGACUUAAUGUUGAUUUGACUCUGUGAGCUGACAAAAUCAUACUCUUAAUCCGGAGAAGUAAUAAGUACUGGAAUUUUAGGAGUUGAAUUGCUCGGGUUCGUAACUCACGAGUUAUGACGAGGCUAAUUCCGGCAUAAAGCUGAAAAUGGGUUUAGUUAACUAAGGUUUGGGACAUGAUGGUAUUGGGCAUAAUUGGAUAAGGUAAAAAUGGGUGGAAGGAUUGGUGACGUGAUUGAGUAUAGGGGUUGGAAAAAUAUAUUAAAGUGGGGUGGUUGACUAUUGGAAAAUGAAAAGGGAAUUUUGAAAAAGGAAUUGCAAAUGGCUAAAGUUGGUGGCUGCUAGGAUUUAACAAAUUGAAGGAAAAGAAACUAAAGAAACAACAAAUGAAAUCGUGACAAGAAGAGAGAAAAUAUAUUGAAAGAUGAAAG